CCCGGAGCCUCCUUUGCGUAGUAACUUUACGUCUCGCACUGGGAUCCGGAGGGACUCUUGCCGUAAAACCCCCAAUUUUCCAAAGGUUGACCUCGGAUCAGGUAGGAAUACCCGCUGAACUUAAGCAUAUCAAUAAGCGGA
rnacentral:rRNA from 1 species